UCCAUAUGUGACCUUUAUAUACAUAUCCCACAAUUAACUGUUUCCCUACACACACACACAUAUAUAUACUUCAAACACAAAUUGCAGUACAUACGUAAAAACUCAUUAUAAUCUGAACUUCUUCUUCAACCUCAUUUCGCUUUCUAGUACUGGAAAUCAUGGAAGAUGACAAUAUGAGAGCAUUCGACAUGGGGGCGCUAAGAACAAGUCUCCCACAAAACAGGAGAGGGUUGUCAAGGUACUACUCAGGGAAAUCAAGAUCAUUUACGUGCAUGGCCGAUGUACGAAGCCUCGAUGAUCUGAAGAAACCAGAAAAUCCCGAUGCGAAAAAGAGGAAGAAACAUUCUGAGAGGAAGAACUUCCCCAUUCCAGCAUACCCUCCUUAUCCAUGUCGAAGAGUUUCUAGCACCACGCAAUGUACUGCACCCUGCGUUGGUGUAUGAAUAAUAUAAAUCAACUGACGAACAGGAAAAGCACAAUAACAUUCUUUUCUGCAAUACUUUGCUGCUUUCCAAAAUCUCAAGAGGUGCCGAUUUCGAAUAUCGUUCUAAGGAGUGGUUUUUGGAGGAUCUAGCUGCGGAAGAACCAGGAAGGAAGAGCUAGUUUUUCCUUUCUCCCAUAUUGUGUAAAUAUCAAAGUACUAAUUUAAACAUAUGCAUGUAUUAGAUCUUAUUUCUUAUUUAAUUUUGGUUUUUGUUUUUGUUUUCGAUACAGAAAACAGACUUGUGUAAUUGUAUCUGUGCUAGAACUUGGUUUGGUGUAAUAUCUUUGUGAUGAAAUUAAACAAUUUCAAAAAUCUAAUGUCA